rnacentral:misc_RNA from 1 species
CCUCUUUCACUGUCAUGGGC